GGCGAUCUGGCCGAGUUCAGGCAGCAUGCGGCGGCGCCUUGUCGAAAAUGAAGAAAACGCGGGUCGCGAGGUUCGAGCCACCGUCGCCGCGGUCGCCG
rnacentral:tRNA from 1 species